GCGCACUAAGAGAGGCAAAAUGGCAGUUAAACUGGUUUCCGACUUUCCUCUGGAACGCUCGACUGCUUAAGAGAAAAAUGCCUCAAAUGAGCAUGUGCACAACUCCAGCAAACACGCUGGACAUGCGGCCUCUCCCAAGUGCUGGCAGGCCACUGCACAUGUGGACCCACGGGAAGAAUCAGGAGAGAAGAAAUGCAAACCCCAGAGUCAUGCCAAGAUGUAAUGGUGAAGUUGAGAUGAUGAUCAGAGUCUUACUUCAGACAAAUCAUGAGUCUCAGAGGAAGUGAUGACAGAGAUGUCUGUGGAAACUAUUGAAGAGGAAGGCUUUGCUAAAUCUUCAUGGAGAGAGUCCUUUCUAUGGAGGAGACAUUAUGCUAGAAUUUUCACACAGAUUAUUUUAUUUAACUCCAAGAACUACUCCAUGAAAUAGGCAUGAUCAUCACCUUCAUUGUUUACAGGUGGAUUAAAUACGGAGUAAAGGAUGGGAACAACUAGUUCUCCUUGAAGAGGUCCUUCACGUCCCUUGAA
rnacentral:lncRNA from 10 species